AACGAACGCUGGCGGCAUGCCUAACACAUGCAAGUCGAACGAGACCUUCGGGUCUAGUGGCGCACGGGUGCGUAACGCGUGGGAACCUGCCCUUAGGUUCGGAAUAACUCCCCGAAAGGGGUGCUAAUACCGGAUAAUGUCUUCGGACCAAAGAUUUAUCGCCUUUGGAUGGGCCCGCGUUGGAUUAGCUAGUUGGUAGGGUAAAAGCCUACCAAGGCGACGAUCCAUAGCUGGUCUGAGAGGAUGAUCAGCCACACUGGGACUGAGACACGGCCCAGACUCCUACGGGAGGCAGCAGUGGGGAGUAUUGGACAAUGAGCGAAAGCCUGAUCCAGCAAUGCCGCGUGAGUGAUGAAGGCCUUAGGGUUGUAAAGCUCUUUUACCCGGGAUGAUAAUGACAGUACCGGGAGAAUAAGCUCCGGCUAACUCCGUG
rnacentral:rRNA from 1 species